rnacentral:sRNA from 1 species
CCACGGGUUUGCACCCGUGGCUGCAGCAUGCCGUCCCGUUGGGACU